GGCAGAAGAGCAAGACAUGGUCCUGGUGCAUGAAAGGAGCCUAAGAAAGAAGAGUGAAAGCUGCACGUGUGUGAGUAUCUAGCAGAACAUCUAGAAAAUGCACACCAACCUCCAGCAGCAGAAAACAGUCUACCUCCAGAAAGCCAUAAAAGAGAAAAGAAUGUUGUACCAAACUAAGCAAAUGAAGCAUGAAAUGAAAAGCCGGUUGAGCUGGGAGGUAUAAAGAAUGGAAAGGAAGCAGCUACCACCCCUGGUAACCCCAUCAAUCCGGAGAAGCUUCGCAGAGUUACACUGUGCUCUGUCGGGAAGGAAAUGAAUUUUCCUCAUUGUACACAUUCCGAGAAAAAUGAGGCUAAGACUAUUUCAAAGGAUGUUCUACCUAAUUCGAAUGGGCUUUAAGUGCCAUCUUCACAAUAGCGCCAGAGUCUGGUGUCAGCAAACUGAACAAAUAGAGCUACAGGGAGCGAAUGGGGCUGGGUGCCUCUCCAAAACAUAUGCAGAUGAACUUGAGAUUUCAGAGGACGGUUAAUCCUACACAGCAGUCAAGUGCCUUCCCAGGGGGCUCCCUUCCAAACACUGGCUGCCACGUCAAACCAAAGGGGACGAGCAAUCAGACUCACCUCAAACGCCAGUUAAGAAAGCCGGCCUUACUUAAGCAAUCAAGGGCAAGUGAUCAGCCAACUCUGCUUUCUUUCCUUUCUCUUGGAUCAUUUAUAGACCUUGUGGCCGUGGCCACCACAUUGAGAAGCCCUUGGUCUCUACUUGGACUCACUAUAGCAGAGCAUCCUGGCAGGCAUCCACUGUGCCAUAUGCUUUCGGGAAGUCUGGAUGCUGAAUGUGGUGGCUGUGGGGAAUUGAGCCUUAUUGCUUCAUAAGAUUCCUGGUGGUAGAACUAUUCUGAACAAGAACACGUCCGUCCCCAUAGGUGUGCUCCAAGAAUCACAGAAUAAGAAGGGACUUCGGAGAGAGCCUCACACAGUUGGGCAAUGGGAGCCCAGAGAGGCAAGGAAGGCUCCUUGCCCAAAGUCUUGUACAUCUGAAUCUGCAACUCCUGACUAUUUUUGAGUCUUAUGCUCCAGGCUAAAACUUGUGACUUUAAGUGUGAUGUUCUCGGUGAUGAUUAAUCUAGGAUGUUUCUGUUGUUUUCUUACCGUCAAAGAAUUAACAUCAAAAGGAAAGGAAGGAAGAAAUGUAGAAGUGAAGGCAAGAAGGAAGGAAGGAGGAAAGGAAGGAAGGAAAAUAUAGGCUUUGGGUAAAAAUAAGUUUCUACUCAACACUGACAAAGGUACAGGUUUUGGACAUUGGUUUCCUAAUCUGUAAAUGAGGAAUAGUCAUCACAUCGCUGUCCUGGCUGGUUUUGUGUGUCAACUUGACACAAGCUGGAGUUAUCACAGAGAAAGGAAAGAAAAUGCCUCCAUGAGAUCUAGCUGUAAAUGGAUUAGUGAUCAAGAGUGGGAGGGCCCAGUGUGGGUGGUGCCAUCCCUGGACUGGUGGUCCUGGGUUCUACAAGAAAACAAGCUGAGCAAGCCAGGGGAAGCAAGCCAGGGGAACAUCCCUCCACGGCUCUGCAUCAGCUCCUGCUUCCUGCCCUGUGUGAGUUCCAGUCCUGACUUCCUUUGGUGACGAACAGCAAUGUGAUAGUAUAAGCUGAAUAAACCCUUUCCUCCCCAAC
rnacentral:lncRNA from 1 species